AGCUGANGCAGCAACGCCGCGUGGGUGAUGACGGUUUUCGGAUUGUAAAGCCCUGUCUUNGGGGACGAUAAUGACGGUACCCGAGGAGGAAGCCACGGCUAAGUUANGUGCCAGCAGCCGCGGUAAUACGUAGGUGGCGAGCGUUGUCCGGAUUUACUGGGCGUAAAGGGUGCGUAGGCGGAUAUUUAAGUCAGAUGUGAAAUUCCCGGGCUCAACCUGGGCGCUGCAUUUGAUACUGGAUAUCUAGAGUGCAGGAGAGGAAAGCGGAAUUCCUAGUGUAGCGGUGAAAUGCGUAGAGAUUAGGAAGAACACCAGUGGCGAAGGCGGCUUUCUGGACUGCAACUGACGCUGAGGCACGAAAGCGUGGGGAGCGAACAGGAUUAGAUACCCUGGUAGUCCACGCCGUAAACGAUGGGUACUAGGUGUCGGGGGUCGAACCUCGGUCCCGCAGUUAACAC
rnacentral:rRNA from 1 species